CGCUUGCGCGUAAGUCAGGUCGGAGGAGUCGUCCCCGUUUUCGCCACCCGGGGUUCGUCCUAGAGAUAAUCAAGUAAAAGAAAGAUGAGCUUCAUCUGUGGACUGCGGUCUGCUACAAGAAACUGUAUUUUCCUUGGAUUAAAUUCCCUGGCCACCCGGAGAAAAUGUAGCACACUAGCUAUAACCUCACAGUGCUGUCAUCAAGUACAAAUGAACCAUAUAGUAAAUAAGUUUCAGGGACUGAGAGUAAAUCACUGUGAUAGGUUUAGUUUUCUGCCUGGAAACUUUCAUUUCCAUAGGACUGCUAAUAACAAAAGAACAGGAUGUCUCUAUAGUACCAAAAGUAAGGAAAUUUGGAUGAUUACCCACAAAUGUACUGCAGAUGUACCCGCAAAUGACUCCUUUUCAAGACUGCUUCUGAUAAAAGAAGUUGCUGUACUUCCUGCUCUUUCAGUAUGGCACCCUGUAAACUGUUUUCUUAUGAGAGAUAUCAGGAGGUUCCACACUUCUUCACGAUUUCAAGCUGCUCCAGUUCCUGUCUUGUUGAUCAUUCUUAAACCAGUGCAGAAGCUUCUAGCAAUCAUUGUAGGCAGAGGCAUAAGGAAAUGGUGGCAGGCACUUCCUCCUAACAAGAAGGAACUAUUUAAAGAAAGUAUAAGGAAGAAUAAAUGGAAGUUAUUCCUUGGUUUGAGUAGUUUUGGACUGUUAUUCCUAGUAUUUUAUUUUACUCAUCUGGAAGUGAGUCCAGUCACAGGAAGAAGCAAGCUACUUUUAUUGGGAAAAGAACAUUUCAGACUUUUAGCAGAACUGGAAUAUGAAGCACGGAUGGAAGAAUUUAAAAAUGAUAUGCUAACUGAGAAAGACUCCCGAUACUUGACUGUUAAAGAAGUGGUUUAUCAUCUAAUUGAAUGCAAUAAAGAUAUUCCAGGCAUUUCUGAAAUCAAUUGGAUUAUUCAUGUGGUUGAUUCUCCAGAUACAAAUGCCUUUGUGCUUCCGAAUGGACAAGUGUUUAUUUUCACUGGGCUUUUAGACAGUAUAACUGAUCUUCAUCAGCUUUCCUUCCUUCUGGGCCAUGAAAUAGCUCAUGCAGUACUUGGGCAUGCUGCAGAAAAGGCUAGCAUGGUUCAUUUAUUGGAUUUCCUUGGUCUGAUUUUUCUCACAAUGAUUUGGGCCAUUUGUCCUCGAGAUAGUUUGGCACUUGUGGGCCAGUGGAUUCAGUCUAAACUGCAGGAGUAUAUGUUUCAUAGACCAUACAGUAGAUCACUGGAGGCUGAGGCUGACAGAAUUGGACUACAGCUUGCUGCAAAGGCAUGUAUUGAUGUCAGAGCCAGUUCAGUGUUUUGGCAGCAGAUGGAGUUUGUAGAUAACCUCCAAGGUCACCCAAAGUUGCCAGAAUGGUUAUCCACACAUCCUUCUCAUGGACAUCGAGCUGAGAACUUGGAUAGACUUAUACCUCAGAUCACUUGCCCUGAAGGAAGCCAGCUGCUUAAGAACACUCAGGGAGAUUUGUGGAGAGCUGUAUGUGUGAAGACCUGAGACUUCCAGCCAACAGUCAGUGAGAAGCAAAACCUCUUGCCAAUAGUCACGUGAAUAAGUCCUCUUAGGAGCAGAACCUCCAUCCCAGGCCAAGCUCUCAGAGAGUGGAUUUCAGGGGACCAGAGUGGAAGGAGGAAGAUCUGAUAGGAGGAUGUUGCAGCAUAACAGAAAUGCAAACUCCAUGAGGAUAGCGACUCAGUCUCUGGUUCAUGGACACAUCCCGAACCUGCCACAGUGCCAGGCCAAAAUGAUGAAGUUGAGGCUCUGAAGUAGUAAAAUUGUGCAGCAGUGGUGGAGCUAGAACUGGAAGCCCGUGGUCCCUUCACUCCUGUACAGCAGGCAAAAAAUGGCAUUCCAGAGGGGAGGAAGAAUGUGAGCAGAAGCCAAGAGUGUACAAGGCAACGUUCUCAUCAAAAAUAAAGAGGCAUGAGGCGCAGUCCCUGACUUUGAGGAACUCACCAUCUGGAGAGGUAUACAGGCAAGUAAAAACUGUAUUCUAUUCAGAGGGUGUUAGGGUAGAGGGAUGUAUUAGUUUGCUAUUGCUAUAUAACAAAUUGCCACAGACUUAGCAGCCUAAAACCAUACCCAUUUAUUAGCUCACCAUUCUGUAGGUCAGAUUGGCUCAGAUUAGUUCUUUGCUCAGGAUCUCACCAGGUCAAAAUCAGAGCAUCCGGUGGGGUGGGUUCUUUUCUGGA